rnacentral:rRNA from 1 species
GACAGAGGUGCCAAGCGUUAGGCGGAAUCACUGGGCUUAAAGCGUGUGUAGGCGGGCGAUCAAGUACCUUGUUAAAUCCCACGGCUCAACCGUGGAACUGCUGGGUAUACUGGUUGUCUUGAGCCAGCUAGGGGCGAGCGGAACAGACGGUGGAGCGGUGAAAUGCGUAGAUAUCGUCUGGAACGCCGAAGGUGAAAACAGCUCGCUGGGGCUGCGCUGACGCUGAGACACGAAAGCCAGGGGAGCGAACGGG